rnacentral:lncRNA from 1 species
UUUUAAAACUCUCCAUUUCUAAUUUCCUUUAAGAAAAAUAAGAAGACAGGAUAAUCCUGUGUCUCUGUCCCUAAGUGGCAGUGAGCUGAAGCUGAGUGAUGGCUGCCCUGUUAAACAAGGCACUCAGUCCUGGGGCACUUUCUGGAUAUAUUCUGAAAGUUUCUGGAAGUAGCUUGAGACUUGCCUUGGUCCCUUCUUCCAACAAGUCUUAAGCACUUGCUUGUCCCCUCCUGAGUCACUUGAUUGGAUUGUUCUCCAUGUGCCAGGCAACAGAUGACACUUGCUUGCCAAUCCAGUAGAGCACUUGACAUGUGCUUAGUAUGAAAGAACUUCAUACCCACUUAAAGAGACUAUAAGAUGGGCUGGGGAUUUAACUCACCAACACAGGACUUGCCUGGCAAGCAUGAGGUCCUGAGUUUGAUCCCUGGUACCAAACAAAUAAGAAAAAGAGACUAUAAGAGGGUUCAGCCUUCCUAGAAAAUCACCUCUCAGGACAAGUUUCAAAAUUGUAAAUAUCUACAUCUUUGGACUCAAUGAUUCCUAUUCUGAGAAUUUGUUAUGAGGACAAAAGAUAGAUUUCUAUGAACACUGCAGUAUACUUAAUAAUACAACCAAGGUAGGGGUGGGGAGAAACCACCUAAAAUUCCAUCAAUAGGAGAAUAGGAGGCUAGUUAACAAAAAGUACCAUUCAGUCACAACAGGAAAUCGCAUGCAGCUUUCAGACAGAAUAAAUUUAGAUCUCUGUGUUUAUCUAGAAAAAGAUAUUGUAAAGUGAGAAAGGUCAUUUACAAAAUAGUAUACAUAGUACAAGGCAAUUUUGUAUGUUAAAUACAAAUAUAUACAAGAAGUACAAUUAUAACAUGAAUUAGAUCAUAAAUGUUUUAUAUAUACAUUGUAUUGGUCAGCUUUCUGUCACUGUGACAAAAUACCCAAGAAACUUAAAGGAGGAAAAGUUUAUUUUGGUUCAUGGUUUCAGAGGUUCUGGUCCAUGGUCACCUGGCUCCAUUACUUUUAGGCUUGUGAUGAGGCAGAAAUAUCAUGGCAGAAGGUUGCAGCACAGGAAAGCCCUCAUAGCAGGCAAGAACCAGGGGGUGGGGGGAACCAAAGAGAGAAGAAGGGGCUAGGGAUAAGAUAUACCUUUCCAAGGCAUGCCCCUCAUGACCUAAUUCCUCUGAGGAAAGAAUGGCCCCACCCCUAAUAAAUAGCCCAUUCAUUGAUAAAGUUAACAUUUUCAUGAUCUCGCCUCUCUGAAUAUUGCUUCACUGGGAAUCAAGCCUUCAAGAUGGACACUGAUGCUUGUCAUCCCUGCUCAGACCUUUCUGAUUGGCAUUUAGUGCAUCUUAUCAAAGACAACCAACCAGUCCUGUGUGCUCCUCCCAGACCAGCCUGUAGACAUCCCAGGACUGACAGAGCAUUACGUCCUCACAUGGAUACAGUGAGCAUUUCAACCACGGGCAAAUAUUUCGAGCAUCUAUGAAGAGCCAGCAGGCCUGUGCCCAGCACCCAAGGACUGCAGCUCCACUGGAAUUUGUUGAAUAAAUAAAUGACUCAUGAGUGAGUGACUGGGAGGUGAACAGACUUAAGGUUGGGAGUCUUGACCCAGUGACUGUGAACUGAAACACAAGCCCUGGACAUGGCAGGCACCAACUUUGUCCCAGGGGAGAAGUGUUCACAUUUUUGAGUCAGUGACUCUCCUCUCAAUAAACAAAAAGGAGAAUAAUGAUAUUAUGAUAAACUCAUGAGUUCAAUUUAAAGCAUUUACUGUCAUAUAGUCAAAAUAAUUUUGACGGACAAAACUACUUGAGAUACAACACACUUGAGGUACAUGGUCUCUUUUUUUAUUUUAAUUUUUUUGAGACAGGGCCUCACUAUGCAGUUCAGGUUGGUCUUGAAGUCACUGUGUAGCCCAAGCUGGCCUCAAAUUCAUGGUGAUUUUCCUGCCUCAACCUCCUAAGUGCUGGGAUCACAGGCAUGCGCCACCACACCCGGCUUAAGGGUAUGUUUUAACUAAUUUUUAAAAUAAAUAUAUGAUAAAAAUUAAGUUCAAGUAAAUGUUUACAGAACCCACGAGUUUGAAAAACCAGUUCUCUAACUGAGCUUGUUGAUUUGAUUCACUGAAAUUUCGGACUCUCUUAAAUAUCAUUCAUUUGUUCAUUCAACUGGCAAUUAUUGCACACAUUCAGUCAGCAAGGCACUCUUAUAGUGAAAUCAGUGUUAAUAGCCUCAGGGAUUACAAGGAAACAAGAGAGUAAGGGAAAGUGGGGAGUGGGGUCAGAGGAAUUGAUAUAAUAGGUAGAGGAUAAAAAAAGUGAUAGAGCACAUAAUGGCUUCCCAAAGAUGUUCAUGUCCUAAUCUUCAGAAUCUGUGAGUAGGCUAGAAGACAGAAGGAACUCUGCAGGUGUGAUUGGCUUAAGGAUCAUGAGAUGGAGGCACAUCUCACAUUACCUAGGUGGGCUCAAUGGAAUCUUAUAAAUAAAAGAGGGAGACAGGAGAGUCAGUGCCAGAGAAAUGGCCAUGGAAACAGAGAUGAGAGAGAGAGAGACAGACAGAGAGAGAGAGAGAGAGAGAGAGAGAGAGAGAGAGAGAGAGAGAGAGAGAGACAGAUAUUACAGUCCUGGCUGUGAAGCUAGAUGAGGGCCAUGAGCCAAGGACCAGUAAUAGCCUUCAGCAGCCAGAAAAGGCCAGGAACCAGAUUCUCCUUUGGAGCCCCCAGAAGGAACCUGACACCUUGAUUUUCCCAACAUCCAGAACUAUAAUAAAUCUGUGUUGUUUUAAGCCACUGAACCUGUAGCGGUUUGUUAUAGAAGCAGCAGAAACUAAUUCAGAUUGGACAGAUGGAUGGAUUGAUGGACCAAUGGACAGACAGAUCAACAGGCAGCCUACAAGUUCCUCUGAUCUGGGAAUUCUGCAGACUCCGUCGUCACAGGGUCAGGAGCCUCCUCUCUGAAUCUGCUGUCUGGGUGCUGAACACAUCUGAUCUUCAGGUCCUUGGUGGCAAAUGGGG